CUUAAAGACACACUUGUGUAAAGUCGUGAUGACACGCCCCGCUUGGCCAUCACUUGCUGCAGAGGAUCACGUGAGAUUGCUUGGCCAAUCAGUGCUGGCCCCAAAAAAGUAUUUUGUGGAUUCAA